rnacentral:misc_RNA from 1 species
UAACCCCAUCACCCACAAACCUUGUGAGUGGAGUUGGCAGUCCCAGUUUGGGUCUGCCGAAUUACAGCAGUUGCUAUCAGGACCCGCCUUUGGCGUGGCCAUUCAGUUUGGUAGGUAACCCCUGGUUGCAUGCCACUGUUGGCCAUCGUGGCCUGUUGUAGCAUACUGGCAGGAAACAAAGGGCCUUGAGCCCUUUCUCA